rnacentral:pre_miRNA from 1 species
UUUCAAUUUUGUCUUCACGUUGGGCUUAGUUUAUUUCAUAGUCUUUUUUGAUCAAAAAAAAAGACUGUGAAGUAAACUAAGCCCAACGUGAAGACAAAAUUGAAAAAA